rnacentral:rRNA from 1 species
AAAUUGAAGAGUUUGAUCAUGGCUCAGAUUGAACGCUGGCGGCAGGCCUAACACAUGCAAGUCGAACGGUAACAGGAAACAGCUUGCUGUUUCGCUGACGAGUGGCGGACGGGUGAGUAAUGUCUGGGAAACUGCCUGAUGGAGGGGGAUAACUACUGGAAACGGUAGCUAAUACCGCAUAACGUCGCAAGACCAAAGAGGGGGACCUUAGGGCCUCUUGCCAUCGGAUGUGCCCAGAUGGGAUUAGCUAGUAGGUGGGGUAAAGGCUCACCUAGGCGACGAUCCCUAGCUGGUCUGAGAGGAUGACCAGCCACACUGGAACUGAGACACGGUCCAGACUCCUACGGGAGGCAGCAGUGGGGAAUAUUGCACAAUGGGCGCAAGCCUGAUGCAGCCAUGCCGCGUGUAUGAAGAAGGCCUUCGGGUUGUAAAGUACUUUCAGCGGGGAGGAAGGGAGUAAAGUUAAUACCUUUGCUCAUUGACGUUACCCGCAGAAGAA